AUGUCAAAACAUGGAGAAGAUACUAAACUCUUAAUGAAAAUGCAGCCAAGACUCAACAAAGCAUUGACCACCAAGCACUUUGGUUUAGUAUUUUCAUCAUUGCAAAUCAUGGGGGAAGAAUUCACAAGUGAGAUGGUUGGAAACCACACCAGCGUGACAGAGUUCCUCGUUUUGGGCUUAACAAAGGACCCUACACUUUGUGUCAUCUUCUUUGUGACAUUUCUAGAAAUAUAUGUUGUCACCUUAGUUGCCAUUAUCAGCAUAAUCACUCUAAUAAGAAGCUGUUCCCACCUUCAUACUCCCAUGUAUCUCUUCCUCAGCCAUUUGGCUUUGGUGGACAUCGGGUGUUCCACAUCAGUCACACCUGUAAUGCUUGUAGGAUUCCUUGGACAUGAAAUCACCCUCCCUGUUGCUGGCUGUGAAGCCCAGCUCUGUUUUGUGGUCACAUUUGGGACAGCCGAGUGCUUCCUGCUGGCUGCCAUGGCCUAUGAUCGCUAUGUGGCCAUCUGCUCUCCCCUGCUCUACUCUACCCACAUGUCCCCCAGAAUCUGUGUUCUCUUGGUGGGGGCUUCCUAUCUGGGUGGAUGUGUGAACGCUUGGACAUUUUCUAGUUGUUUAUGGAGUCUGUCUUUCUGUGGACCAAAUGAAAUAGAUCACUUUUUCUGUGAUUUCUCCCCUUUGUUGAAACUUUCCUGCUCAGAUAUCUCCACUAUUAAGAUUAUCCCUUCCAUCUCUUCUGGAUCCAUCAUCGUGGUUACAGUGUUUGUCAUAGCUCUCUCUUACAUCUACAUCCUCACCACCAUCCUGAAGAUGCGCUCCACUGAAGGGCGACACAAGACCUUCUCCACCUGCACAUCCCACCUCACUGCAGUUACUCUCUACUAUGGAACUAUUACCUUCAUUUAUGUCAUGCCCAAGUCCAGCUACUCAACUGACCAGAACAGGGUGGUGUCUGUGUUCUACACAGUGGUGAUCCCCAUGUUGAACCCUCUCAUAUACAGUCUGAGGAAUAGAGAUGUAAAGGAGGCCCUGAGAAAGGCAACUGUCAGAAUAUAAUCUUAGGAUCCAUUCAGAGCAUUUCAGGCGACCCAUAAAGUUUUUGUUUUCCAAUGUCACACUUAAGACAUAUCAAAUGCUGCUAAUUGAUUGCUUAAAUUAA